rnacentral:rRNA from 1 species
AUGUAUUGGUUGGUUCAAGAGUUAAUAACGGAAACAGUGGCAUAUACAUCAUAUUUUUGUUUCCUGUUAAUGCACAAUUCAACUAUUUACGUUACAACAUGGCAAUGGCUGAGGCGACAUCGGUUCUGCCUUCUUGGCUUGGGGAUGUCACGGGCAGCGCACGUCUCGUCCUCCUUGAUGGUGGUGAUGGAUCGACAUGAACACGAGGGGAGGGGAUCAGGCAACAGCAGGUUGGUUGGUGGGACUCCUCUUUGGCUGUCCGCGGGGAAGUAUGAUGGAAGGGAGAGAGGGCGUCAUGGCGAAGGUGAGGUGGACAUCAUCCGUUUUGAAAGGAGGGGGCUCCAGUGA